rnacentral:rRNA from 1 species
GAUGAACGCUGGCGGCGUGCCUAAUACAUGCAAGUCGAGCGAACGGACGAGAAGCUUGCUGCUCUGAUUUUAGCGGCGGACGGGUGAGUAACACGUGGAUAACCUACCUAUAAGACUGGGAUAACUUCGGGAAACCGUAGCUAAUACCGGAUAAUAUUUUGAACUGCAUGGUUAAAAAGUGAAAGACGGUCUUGCUGUCACUUAUAGAUGAAUCCGCGCUGUAUUAGCUAGUUGGUGAGGUAACGGCUUACCAAGGCAUCGAUGCAUAGCCGGCCUGAGAGGGUGGACGGCACCAGUGGGACGGAGAGACGGCCCAGCCUCCGAGGGGAGGCAGCAGUGGGGCAUACGGAAUGGGGGGAGGAAGCAUGAUGCAGCGACGCGGGGUGGGGGAUGACGGUCGUCGGGUUAAACUCUGCUUUCGUGAGGGACGAAGCCGCAAUUUUUUGGGGUGUGGUGACGGGACCUUUAUUAAGAAGCCCCGGCUAAAUACGGG